UGGGGAAUAUUGCACAAUGGGCGGAAGCCUGAUGCAGCAACGCCGCGUGCGGGAUGACGGCCUUCGGGUUGUAAACCGCUUUCAGCAGGGGCGAAGCUUGUGGUGACGGUACCUGCAGAAGAAGCACCGGCUAACUACGUGCCAGCAGCCGCGGUGAUACGUAGGGUGCGAGCGUUGUCCGGAUUUAUUGGGCGUAAAGAGCUCGUAGGUGGUUGAUUGCGUCGGAAGUGAAAACUUGGGGCUUAACCCUGAGCGUGCUUUCGAUACGGGUUGACUUGAGGAAGGUAGGGGAGAAUGGAAUUCCUGGUGGAGCGGUGGAAUGCGCAGAUAUCAGGAGGAACACCAGUGGCGAAGGCGGUUCUCUGGACCUUUCCUGACGCUGAGGAGCGAAAGCGUGGGGAGCGAACAGG
rnacentral:rRNA from 1 species